GAUGAACGCUGGCGGCGUGCCUAAUACAUGCAAGUCGAGCGAACGGACGAGAAGCUUGCUUCUCUGAUGUUAGCGGCGGACGGGUGAGUAACACGUGGAUCACCUACCUCUAAGACUGGGAUAACUUCGGGAAACCGGAGCUAAUACCGGAUAAUAUUUUGAACCGCAUGGUUCAAAAGUUAAAGACGGUCUUGCUGUCACUUAUAGAUGGAUCCGCGCUGCAUUAGCUAGUUGGUAAGGUAACGGCUUACCAAGGCAACGAUGCAUAGCCGACCUGAGAGGGUGAUCGGCCACACUGGAACUGAGACACGGUCCAGACUCCUACGGGAGGCAGCAGUAGGGAAUAUUCCGCAAUGGGCGAAAGCCUGACGGAGCAACGCCGCGUGAGUGAUGAAGGUCUUCGGAUCGUAAAACUCUGUUAUUAGGGAAGAACAUAUGUGUAAGUAACUGUGCACAUCUUGACGGUACCUAAUCAGAAAGCCACGGCUAACUACGUG
rnacentral:rRNA from 1 species